GGGCCCGUAGUCGAGUGGUUAAGACGCCUCCCUUACAAGGUGGAGAUCCCCAGUUCAAUUCUGGGCGGGCCCA
rnacentral:tRNA from 1 species